rnacentral:lncRNA from 1 species
AUCUGAAUGAUGUAAGAAUCAUAGAAGGCCUGGCGACCUCUUUCAAAUUUCAGCAACUAUUUUAUUUGAAAAAAUAAAUGCAGAAAAUGCUUUUUGAAAGUAUUCCCAGUAACAUUAAUAGUUUAAACAUAUUCUGACUGUCUAUCUUUGACCUUCUUAGACAUAUUAUGUUUACUAUGCAUGCCCUUUAAAGAUCUGUUAAAAUGAAUGAAUUCACACAUUCUUCUGAGCAAUGCUAUUGAUUUUUCCAAAACCAAAACAAAACACACAAACAAAAAAGGAUUAAGCACUCACUAUUAAUUAAAUUUAGAGUAUGUGGUUUUUAUAUAUCUCUAACCCUUCCAAAUAAAAAUCCACCCAACAGAAAUUCUGGGAUCGUCCUCAAGUAUAGUCCUCUCAGAGUGGAUAACCAAAUCUAAUUACAUUCCUGCAUAGAAUGCUUCAGUAUUACCCAUUACAUUUAGCCUAGAUUUUCAAGUUGCUUUCCAUACAAAACAAGAUAUGUGUAUUGGCAUUUUAACAAAGCAAUGCAAAUGUAGAUAUGAAGGUUUAUAUGAGUUUGAUUUGGUUGCCUGGACUUCAACUUGAUUUAUUAGAAACUACUUUUCUCUUCAGGUGAUAAUUCUCCUCAAGAAUCUUUAUAUCCCUAUCAAUACUUACCUUAUCUACUUUCUCACAAUCUCUAAUUUUUAGAUAAUUAACGUAAUGACCAGAAGGUUCUUGAGGAUUCCUUUGUAUGAGCACCAAUUUUAUGUUGGGUAAAGGUAAACUAAACAUUCUAAAGUCUCAUAGCUAUGUGGUGGUAGAGCUAGGAUCGAGAUAUCUAUUUCUGGCUCUGGUUCUCUGUGUCCCAUAGCUCUUGGCGGAGGGGGUGAUUUACACUGUAUCUGACAGCUCCUCCUCCACACUUCAAUGGUUAUUGUACUUUUCUUAUUUAAUUUUUGGGGCUGGAGAUAAUGAGACAAUGAUACUUCAUGUUACCAUGAGAAGUCCAAGGCUAAAGCCAGCACAAGGUAAAGAAAAGCUGAUAAAUCAACAUAUGUGAAGUUCUAAUAUUAUCAUUGAGUUCUGAAAUCCAAAUAUGCCUAAAGAAAUUAAUUCCCACCCAGACACUCCUUAUUUACAUACACUCAGGUAUUGUGGGGUUUAUUUUGUUUUGUUUUUAUGUUGGAGCCUUGCUGUUGUGUCAUUUGUAACUGAACAUAUUCUAACGUUUGUAGUAUUUAACUUUCAAACUCAUUUCAAUUCACUUCUCUUUGAGUUUCCAAACUCAAUGGAAUUUCAAGGAACAAGGUUUCUACAGAUGCAGUGCAGCACCUGGAAAAAUGCUUUGUGUACUACAGCUUCUCCAUUUGGCUGAAUUGAAUUAGAUAGAUUGAAGAUACAACAUUUUCUCUUGUAGAAUUUGGAAAUGCAGAAAUAAGACUAAUCUGCAAAGACACACAACAAUGAAUACACAAAUUCUCUCUGUCUCUCCCACUCUUUCUCUCUCAUACACACACAGACAGACACACACACACAAACACACCCCACAAAUUAUGAGCACAGUGUCAGCUGAAUCUUUCUCUCUCCAUCUGGAAUGUGUCAUAACUAAUAUGAUAGUUUUUAAUCCAAAUAUAGCCUUUUUUUUCCAUAGAGCUGGUGUAUAAGUAAUGAUCUGGUCACUCCAGUAUUAGAGACCUAAGAAGAUUUUACCAUAAGUAAUUCGAAACUGUUAUGAUCCAUUAAUCUUAUUUUUAAAAUAUUUAUUAAAAUGAUACUUUGUGGUAUGUAAAAUAACAUAACAUCUGUUCGUCUAACAUGCAAAUAUGAACCAAACAAACAAAUAAAACAGACUUUAAACAAUGGAAUAGGAGAAAGAAUC